rfam:Felis catus isolate Cinnamon breed Abyssinian chromosome X, whole genome shotgun sequence.
GCGGGGAGGUUGAACAUCCUGCAUAGUGCUGCCAGGAAAUCCCUAUUUCAUACUAAGGGGGCUGGUUGCAUAUGUAGGAUGUCCCAUCUCCCCGCCCACUUCAUCG